rnacentral:misc_RNA from 1 species
AGAAUAAGGGAAAAUAGGUAGAAGGGAAAUAAAAGAAAAAGGUAAUGUGUUGUUUCCACGAAACAACGACACCUUCUGCUUCAUUUGUAAUGUAUAAUAGCUGGCUAAAUGCAAUACACAAUGUGAAUGUAGGAAAGUGCAUCUGUUAAAUUGUUCACAAAAGAAAUUUAUUCCUACUGCACAUAAGUUGGUCUGAGGAUAUCUUUACUAUAUUUAAAGACAGAAAAAAAAAAUCAUUAGUUUGUUCGAAUUUUUUUUUUAAAUACAAGAACUA